AGUGGAAUAGCUGGGUCAAAUGGUGGUUCCAUUCCCAGAUUUUCAAGGAAUCUCCAUACUGCUUUCCAAAUUGGCUGCACCAAUUUGCAGUCCCACCAGCAGU
rnacentral:pre_miRNA from 1 species